CAGUAGCCACGGGAAUACGUAGGUGGCAAGCGUUGUCCGGAAUUAUUGGGCGUAAAGGGCUCGCAGGCGGUUUCUUAAGUCUGAUGUGAAAGCCCCCGGCUCAACCGGGGGGGGUCAUUGGAAACUGGGAAACUUGAGUGCAGAAGAGGAGAAUGGAAUUCCACGUGUAGCGGUGAAAUGCGUAGAGAUGUGGAGGAACACCAGUGGCGAAGGCGACUCUCUGGUCUGUAACUGACGCUGAGGAGCGAAAGCGUGGGGAGCGGACAGGAUUAGAUACCCCAGUAGUCCCUGUCUCUUAUAU
rnacentral:rRNA from 1 species